rnacentral:rRNA from 1 species
UACGAAGGGUGCAAGCGUUACUCGGAAUUACUGGGCGUAAAGCGUGCGUAGGCGGUUUGUUAAGUCCGCUGUGAAAGCCCUGGGCUCAACCUGGGAAUUGCAGUGGAUACUGGCAAGCUAGAGUGCGGUAGAGGAUGGUGGAAUUCCCGGUGUAGCGGUGAAAUGCGUAGAGAUCGGGAGGAACAUCAGUGGCGAAAGCGACUUCCUGGACCAAUACUGACGCUCAUGUGCGAAAGCGUGGGGAGCAAACAGG